rnacentral:rRNA from 1 species
CCUACGGGAGGCAGCAGUGAGGAAUAUUGGUCAAUGGACGAGAGUCUGAACCAGCCAAGUAGCGUGAAGGAUGACUGCCCUAUGGGUUGUAAACUUCUUUUAUAUGGGAAUAAAAUGUUCCACGUGUGGGAUUUUGUAUGUACCAUAUGAAUAAGGAUCGGCUAACUCCGUGCCAGCAGCCGCGGUAAUACUGAGGAUCCGAGCGUUAUCCGGAUUUAUUGGGUUUAAAGGGAGCGUAGGUGGAUUGUUAAGUCAGUUGUGAAAGUUUGCGGCUCAACCGUAAAAUUGCAGUUGAAACUGGCAGUCUUGAGUACAGUAGAGGUGGGCGGAAGUCGUGGUGUAGCGGUGAAAUGCUUAGAUAUCACGAAGAACUCCGAUUGCGAAGGCAGUUCACUGGACUGCAACUGACACUGAGGCUCGAAAGUGUGGGUAUCAAACAGGAUUAGAUACCCCUGUAGUC